CAGGGAUUUGAACUACAACAACCUGGCUGAGUUCCCCACGUCCGUCCGGUCCCUCGCUCACCUGAAGGAACUUGGUUUCCAUAGCAACAACAUCAAGUCCAUCCCGGAGCACGCCUUCACGGGGAACCCCUCCCUCAUCACCAUAUUUUUCUACGACAACCCGAUCCAGUCUGUUGGCCGGUCCGCCUUCCAGAACCUCCCGGAGCUACGAACUCUGUGAA